rnacentral:rRNA from 1 species
CAAUAGCGUAUAUUAAAGUUGUUGCAGUUAAAAAGCUCGUAGUUGAAUUUCUGAUAGAAGGGAGCGGUUCCGUAUUCUUACGGAUACUUGCUCGUCUUCCGUCAUCCUUGGGCUUAGUCUCGCUGAUAUUAACUUAUCGGCGUGUACGAUGCCCAUCGUUUACUGUGAGCAAAUUAGAGUGUUCAAAGCAGACUUAUGUCGUUGAAUAUAUUAGCAUGGAAUAAUAAGAUAGGACCUAGUGACUAUUUUGUUGGUUUGCGUUAUUAGGUAAUGAUUAAGAGGGACAGUUGUGGGUAUUCGUAUUCAGAUGUCAGAGGUGAAAUUCUUAGAUUAUCGGAAGACGAACGACUGCGAAAGCAUUUACCAAGGAUGUUUNCAUUAA